rnacentral:rRNA from 1 species
GACGGAGGAGGCAAGCGUUAUCCGGAAUUAUUGGGCGUAAAGCGUCCGUAGGUGGUUAUUCAAGUCUUUUGUUAAAUAGUGGAGCUCAACUCCAUAGAGGCGGAAGAAACUGAGUAACUUGAGUGCGGUAGGGGUAGAGGGAAUUCCAGGUGUAACGGUGAAAUGCGUAGAUAUCUGGAAGAACACCAGUGGCGAAGGCGCUCUACUGGGCCGUAACUGACACUGAGGGACGAAAGCUAGGGGAGCGAAAGGG